AGUGAACGCUGGCGGUAGGCUUAACACAUGCAAGUCGAACGAGUGGCGGACGGGUGAGUAAUACAUCGGAAUCUACUCUGUCGUUGUGGAUAACGUCGGGAAACUUACGCUAAUACCGCAUACGCUUGAAUGAGCCGAGGUCGGAUUAGCUAGUUGGCGGGGUAAAGGCCCACCAAGGCGACGAUCCGUAACUGGUCUGAGAGGGUGACCGGCCACACUGGAACUGAGACACGGUCCAGACUCCUACGGGAGGCAGCAGGGGGGAAUAUUGGACAAUGGGCGCAAGCCUGAUCCAGCCAUGCCGCGUGGGUGAAGAAGGCCUUCGGGUUGUAAAGCCCUUUUGUUCGGAAAGCGGUACCCAAAGAAUAAGCACCGGCUAACUUCGUGCCAGCAGCCGCGGUAAUAC
rnacentral:rRNA from 1 species